UACGUAGGGCGCAAGCGUUGUCCGGAAUUAUUGGGCGUAAAGAGCUCGUAGGCGGUUUGUCGCGUCUGCUGUGAAAACCUAAGGCUCAACCUUGGGCUUGCAGUGGGUACGGGCAGACUAGAGUGCGGUAGGGGUGACUGGAAUUCCUGGUGUAGCGGUGGAAUGCGCAGAUAUCAGGAGGAACACCGAUGGCGAAGGCAGGUCACUGGGGCCGC
rnacentral:rRNA from 1 species